ensembl:lncRNA
AUGAAGGGGAAUUUUUUCUUAACUGAAAACCGAAGAGAUUUCCAACAUGUCAGGAGAACAAAUAACAUGAAGCACAGAUGAAGAUACUUCUGUUGCUGCUUCUGUAGAAGUUGGCGAAGCAUUUGCACCUCUUCAGCGAUUCACCUCUUUUUGGAAGAUCCAAAGAUGUUUUGUGACUGAUUCCAGGUUUCUGCAUAACCAUGCACUGGGAUUUCCUCAUUUCAAGCUAUGGGUAAUUCAGAGAGGUGUGAGUGCUUUUUCAAGAAGCGAUUUCAGUAUCACAACACAUCUUGUGUGUUUUGCAGAGGACCCUCUCCCUCUAUGUGUCCUCAGAGCAGCAAAGAGACUGAAAACUGAAGGAUCUCAAGACCCACUGGUGGAAAUAAGAGUCCUCAGGGCUGACAUGACUCUCUCACAUGUUUCUUUUCAAAACUCCUUUCUGCACCUAUAGAAUCUUGAACAAUAACGUGACCUAUGGGAUUGUGUGGGGAUGAGAUUACUGUGCUUCGCAGCUCUCAGAGGCAGGCUGGAGGAAAGCUCCACAAGUGAGAAGUGUCUAACUGAUCCAGGUUGCAGCCCCUGGAGAAGGUAGGAUUGGUUGAGUGCAGGGCUGUAGUGCUGCUCUGCACCCUCACCUCCUGGGACCUGGCCAAAGAUGUAUGCCAGAGACUUUUAAUAUGCUGUGACAAGUGAGUGCUGCAGAAAGGUCUGAAGACAGAUGACACUGGAGAAGGUCCAGGUUGGUGCUGUGAGGAUGCUGAGAUGUAGCCCUCCAUUAGAGAGCAUGAAGAAUGCUGGGAUGAGUGAACUGCACCCUCCCCUUCAGGUCUUGCCAGCUUGCUCACUGUGUGUCAGCUCCUGCCUCUGCUCUCUUCUUCCACCCCCUUUUCCGAGGUGGGGCAGUUACAGCAUCCCCAGCUGUACCCACGGGAACUGCCCUUUCCCCAGAUGCCACCAGCCUUGAGCUGGCUUUCACAGGCUAAGAAUAAACUAGGCCUUUGGCUCUAGCUUACACAGUUACAAGCUUUGGAUUUGCCAAGUCAGGGAAAUUUAAAUUUGCCAACCGAAUCUGCUUCCAGGGGCUCUCUCAUUCUGAGUCAGCGCAGCUGGGAGGGAAUGGAGGACAACACCAGAGCCUGAUGCUGCUCAGUGGUACCUUUUCUCAGCACAGCCACCGACCAAUAGAAGGAGAAAAACAAUCAGUGACAGCUGCGUGUCACCAGAGAUGUGCAGACUGCAGUCCUAUGCUGUCUAAGAGCCCUAUAUUUUCAAAGAAAGCUUAAAUAGACAGACAACUAAUUAAAAAGGGGGGAGGGGAAAUGCCUUGAAUCUCAUCCUUCUUAUGGCAGAUACAAUCAUAAUGUUUCAGGUAAUUAGCUUUGCCUGAGCUGAUGAUCUCUCAUUUUGGGAGUGUAUAAAAUCUAUGAGUAGUGAUAUGAGGCAACCUGCAAGUCUCCAUGCCUAGCUCUAGAGUUCUCUCUGUACUCCUCUAUCUCCCUCUGAAUCGUACCUCCUCUCCUGGGGAAAGGCUCACUGGUGCUUAUCAGAUUCAAUUAC